GACGAACUGUCCUCACGUUGUUCGGAAUCACUGGGCUUAAAGGGCGCGUAGGCGGCGACUCAAGUCUGGGGUGAAAUCCUUCGGCUCAACCGGAGAAGUGCCUUGGAUACUGGGUCGCUCGAGGGGGAUAGGGGCACGCGGAACUUCCGGUGGAGCGGUGAAAUGCGUAGAUAUCGGAAGGAACGCCGGUGGCGAAAGCGGCGUGCUGGGUCCCUUCUGACGCUGAGGCGCGAAAGCCAGGGGAGCAAACGGG
rnacentral:rRNA from 1 species